rnacentral:lncRNA from 1 species
UGAUAAUUAAAUUAACUUGAUAUAUUAAGUUUCCAAAUGUAGCUUGUUACAAGUUGAGCAUCAAAAUCUAACAUUACAUGUCUACAAAAUGAACAAAAAGAAAGUAUGUGAUUGUUUUUUUAGCUCUAUUCCAACUCAAGAAUAUCCAAAAGCACUAGGAAGUUCAUUUUGUAUCCACCAACUUGUAGUAGUCGUCAAGUGUCACAUCUUAUCUUCACAGUCUGUUUCAAUAUCAUUCGAGCGUUGCAUCAAAGAAUCAUCAAGUGAGAAAAUCUGUGAUCAAAUAAUGUAUAUGUUAAAAACUAAACUUCAAUAAUGGAAAUAUAGAAAGAUCACAAAGAAGAAAGAAAGAAAAAAAUAGAACACAUAGAUUUUACGUGAAAACCCUUUCUGGAAAAAACCACGAGCAGAGGAGAAGAAAAUUCAUUAAUGCCAAACUCAAAUGAUUAUAAGAGGAGUUUCAACCAUAUCUAUUUAUAAGUUGAAAAAGCCUAAUUCUAAUCAAUGCAAAAUAUAUUUUACUACUAAAUCUUCUAGAAAGAAAAUAUAUUUUGUCUAACUUGACUUGCAAGCAAUCUUUUAAAAUUUGAGUCGCACAACUCUAACAAUCUCCAUCUUCACACGAAUUCUCACGAUCAAGUUAUUCGCCACGAACUCUCAACGAACAAGUUUUCCACCUCUUCUAUGAAACCCCUUAAGGGUAUUCUUCAAUAAUAAACAAUGAGACCCUCUCCCUGAGAGCCAGAUCCAGACACAAUAUGCUUCAUCUUGUCAUACGAUGUUAAGGAAGUAUAGACUUCAUCAACUGUGAGAGAUUCGCGGCUAUGCAAAAUAGUAUCUCUAAAGGUUGAAUAAGACUAGGGAAACAAAUAAAGUAGAUUUAAUCCUAAAUCUUCUUUAUCAUACUAAAAAUUCAUGGCCUCUAGGUCCAAGAGGAUUUCUUUAGACACAAUUAAUUGUUCGUACACAAACGUACCUUCCUCCAAACGAUCAGCAUAAAACCGUUGCUUCAUAUGCAACUUUUUAGUUAGGGUUUUUGACAUGCGUAGUUGUUGCAGCUUUGCCUAUAAUGUAACAGUAGUCUUCUCUUUCAUCACGUCUUGUAGAAUUUCAUUUGACAGAUGCAUAUAUAAUUAUGUUAAAGCCUUUUGAUCUUUACACUUCUUCUUUUCUUCUGUCAAUGUCGAAGACAUCUUAUCUAACCCUAGCAGGACAUUCUCUAAAUCCAUCUGUGCAAGAACUAUCUGUAUCUUUAUUUGCCAUAAUGAGAAUCUGGUGUUGCAAUCCAAUAGUGAAAUAUCAUACUUCAUUGUUGCCAUUACUGUGAUCGAGACAAGCAACUCGAAAAGCUCUGAUACCAAUUUGUUAAAAAUUGAAUGUCGAUAAUGGCAAUGUAGAAAUAUCGCAAAGAAAAAAUAGAAUACACAGAUUUUAUGUGGAAACCUUUUCAGAAAAAACCACGGGUAGAGGAGAAGAAAAUUCACUAAUGCCGAAUUUGAAUGAUUAUACAAGAGGAGUUUCAACCACAUCUAUUUAUAGGUUGAAAAAGUCUAAUUCUAAUCAAUGAAAAAUAUAUUAUACUACUAAAUCUUCUAGAAAGAAAAUAUAUUUUGUCUACCUUGACUUAUAAAUAAUCUCUUAGAAUUUGAGUCACACAACUCUAACAGUAUAUAUAUAUAUGCAUAUAUGCUUAAGUACACAAAUAUGUAUUUAAUGUACAAACAUGUUGCUAACCAGGAAGUGAACAUCUCAAUAAAAUUCAGUCUGUCAAUAUUCAGGCUAUACUUAAUCUCUGUCACAUUCAGACUAUACUUGCAAAUCAUUACCAAAAAAUCAUCUAGGCAUUUAAUCUCUGUCAACAUUCAACCUAUACUUAUCGAUCAUUCUCAUUAAUUGUAAAAAUAAGUAAUGAGCAUUUCAACAAAUAAUUUUAAUCUAUUAAUUACGUAUAUCAUGUCGCCAACCCCUUCACUUCUCAACUAAGCAUUUCCAUUGAUCUUCAUAAACACCUUUUGGAACUUACUAUUUGAUAAUGUUAGAUUAAAAGCAUACCAAAUUUUGAAGAGAAAAUAAAAUUAGAAAACUCAUGUGGAAAGUGCUACUCAUUGCACCAAUGAUGGUGCUACAUUUGCACAAACAUACGAUUUUCAUCAUUUUUUUUAUUUCUUAAGAUAAAUAGAUAAUAUUGAAAUUAAGUUGUUAUUAGUAAAAUAAAGAAAAAAAAGGUUAAAAACUUAAUUAAAAAUAAGAGAAAUUUCACAAAUAGUGAAAAAUGAAGACAUACAACAUGGUAACAGAUCCCAAAUUUUGAUGCAAAAACUAACCUAUACUAUUAAUUUUGUUUCCCAAACCCAAACUUUAUACAAGAACAUGUAUAUUAACAGUGAAGCCAUAAAUCAAUGAUAUUAUUACAUAGCUAUCGUAACAAUUCGUGUAUAUAUUCUUGUCUAUGUGUAGACUUUUUGAUUGGUUAAUAUUUUGGAUUAUAUAAAUGUUGACAUUUUUUGUAUUUUCAUGUCGUGGCUGGCAUUAUUAGCUCUAGUAUCAUCUAUAUAUUGAAUAAGGAACAACAAAAUAGAUUAUAAUGAUAAACAAAUCAACCAAAAUCUACUGGUAACAUGUGAUUGAAGCAUGGACUUAAUGAAGACAGGAGAAUGAGUGUCCAAACCAGAUUCCAAUUUUCUUAUUUUCUCCAAACCCUCUACUCUAGCUUUAUUUGAAGCAUACACUUGGUUUGACAAAUCCCUAUUCUUAGAUACCUUAAAUUUACCGCCAAAAAGUCAUUAAACCUAAAAAUACAAAAAAAAUAAAAAUAAAAAAAAUCCAAACAAGCAUUACCUUCUAGGUAUCAUCACUUUAUCCACACAAACCUACUUAAAGAGAUUAAGGUAAGAAAAAUGCCCUCAUUUUUAACUAAACCCAUGAAAGAGAAUCGAGGAAAUCACUCACUUCUUGGCAAAUUGGGGAUGGGUUUGUUGGUGACACAACUCGAUUUUCUAACCAUAAAUAAUUUUUUUCUACUGUCUUAUAAACUAUACAAAGUGAGCUUUUCAUUAGUAAAAACAAUAAAUAAAGAAAUAAAAAUUGAAGGAGGAAUUGUAGAGAGAUAGAACCGAAAAUGAUUUGAAAAUGGGGUACGAAGAAGUGUAGAAAGUUGUUGAAGAUUGAAAGCUUUCAUUCUUUUCUUGUUUUCUUCCACACGAAACUGAAAAAAAGGGAAAACUAAAGAGGAGAGAGGACAGAAAAAUCUUUGGAGGCAACAAUUUGAUGAAUAGGAGAGCAGGGUUUUAGUGGGAUUUUAUAAAAGACAUUAUCGAAAGAGAGCUACAGAUAUGAUGGCUGACAUCUCUACUAUCAACAGCUUAGGAGACUUUCUCGCGUCUCCAUAGGUAAUCUAGAGAGACGUAGCCUAGUGUCUCCAUUGGUUAAUUCCAAUGAAUAAAAGGAAAAUACCUAUAUAUUUGACAACAAACAAUCAACUUAAAGAACUUACUUACACCGGUGUAUAUAAGCAUUUUCCCUUAAAAGAAUAUUGGAGGAACAUCCGACACGUUUAACAAAAGGUUUGAGGGAAAAAAACUUACUUACACCGGUGUAAGUAUUGAUAAGAGACCAAAUGAAUGUCAGCAGUGAAUUUAUGUUGGAUUUUGAAUCAAGCUAAAAAAUAAAGAAUCAAUUCAAACAAUAAUGAAUCGAUUUAAAACAACAAACAAUUGAUUCAAAGAAGUAAAGAAUCAAUUUAAAACAACAAUCAUGAAUCAAUUUAAAGAAGCAAAUAAUCGAUUUAAAACAACAAUAAUGAAUCGAUUCAAAUAAGUAAAGAAUCAAUUUCAAACAACAAAUAAUCAAUUCAAAGAAGAAAAGAAAAGAUUUAAAAUAACAAAUUUAGUAACAACCUUAUUCAUUAUUUGCAUACGUAUAGAUGAAAUACUUAUAUCACAAAUUCAUUCAUGCAAUAUAUAUAUACAUAAAAGUAAGCAAAAAAAAAAACUUGAUAUAAGUAAAUUUGAAAUCGUAUAGAUUGAUAAAUUUUCAAGAUAGUGAAGAUGAACAUACCAUUGUCUCUACUCCAAUAUCGUGAAUUCGUAAGGAAGCGAAAAUGGGAAGAAUGAGAAAUUGGCAUUAGAAGAAAGAAAACAAGGUUCAAGAGACCUACGAAGAAAGCAAGAACAGAACAUCUCAGUGUUUAAGUUGUGCAAACAAUUUAGAAACCUACAGAGAUGAUGACCGACGUCUCUACAAUUGACAUCUUAGGAGACGCAAGAAAGUGCCUCCUUAGGUAAUCUAGAGGGACGCAACUUAGUGUCUCUAUUGGUUUGUUCUAAGGAGACGCGACAAAAGCGUCUCCUUAAGUUAGGCCUAAAGAGACGCUUCGCGAUG